AUUGAACGCUGGCGGCAUGCCUUACACAUGCAAGUCGAACGGUAACGGGCCUUCGGGUGCCGACGAGUGGCGAACGGGUGAGUAAUACAUCGGAACGUGCCCGAUCGUGGGGGAUAACGAGGCGAAAGCUUUGCUAAUACCGCAUACGAUCUACGGAUGAAAGCAGGGGACCGCAAGGCCUUGCGCGGACGGAGCGGCCGAUGGCAGAUUAGGUAGUUGGUGGGAUAAAAGCUUACCAAGCCGACGAUCUGUAGCUGGUCUGAGAGGAUGAUCAGCCACACUGGGACUGAGACACAGCCCAGACUCCUACGGGAGGCAGCAGUGGGGAAUUUUGGACAAAGGGCGCAAGCCUGAUCCAGCCAUGCCGCGUGCAGGAUGAAGGCCUUCGGGUUGUAAACUGCUUUUGUACGGAACGAAAAGCCUUCUUUUAAUACAGGAGGGUCAUGACGGUACCGUAAGAAUAAGCACCGGCUAACUACGUG
rnacentral:rRNA from 1 species